rnacentral:lncRNA from 1 species
AGACGUAUUGUCUCCAAAAUUAAUAGAUUAACAUUUAAUAGUUUUAUGUCGAGCUUGCGACAUUAAACAAAGCGCUUCAUGGGAGACAACCCACAAAUUUUUAUUUUCUUUCUUUCUUUGAUUAUUCUUUUUGAUUUUAUUUAGUUUUCAUUCUUCAUAUUCUUUAUUUUAAUUAAAUUUUUCUUCUUUUCUUCUUUCGGCAUCUGGCCAAAUCCUGACUAAAUUCUUGUUUUUCUUUUCUUUAGCCAACACUAACCUGAUGGGACAUAUUGAUUGCAUGGGUAUUAAAU